rnacentral:rRNA from 1 species
CCUACGGGGGGCUGCAGUGGGGAAUAUUGGACAAUGGGGGGAACCCUGAUCCAGCCAUGCCGCGUGUGUGAAGAAGGCCCUCGGGUUGUAAAGCACUUUCAGUGAGGAAGAACGCCUGGUGGUUAAUACCCAUCAGGAAAGACAUCACUCGCAGAAGAAGCACCGGCUAACUCCGUGCCAGCAGCCGCGGUAAUACGGAGGGUGCGAGCGUUAAUCGGAAUUACUGGGCGUAAAGCGCGCGUAGGUGGCUUGAUAAGCCGGUUGUGAAAGCCCCGGGCUCAACCUGGGAACGGCAUCCGGAACUGUCAAGCUAGAGUGCAGGAGAGGAAGGUAGAAUUCCCGGUGUAGCGGUGAAAUGCGUAGAGAUCGGGAGGAAUACCAGUGGCGAAGGCGGCCUUCUGGACUGACACUGACACUGAGGUGCGAAAGCGUGGGUAGCAAACAGGAUUAGAUACCCUGGUAGUC